rnacentral:tRNA from 1 species
AAGGAUUUAGGUUAAAAUAAACCUAUGACCUUCAAAGUCAUGAAUAAGAUAAAGUUUUAAGCCUUA